rnacentral:rRNA from 1 species
CAGGGCGCUGAAAANUCGANCCGGCACCAAGAAUAGCGNUNUUGGGCAUGGUAAUAACGCNUGUGGUAGUGGCCUCCNUUCANCCACCNCCGCAGCUUUAGGGGAGAGUUCACUGACUAAACAGCGGUGGGUNGGCNCUUCUCGNNCCAGCCUAAGACAUAGUNGAUCCGGCGCCCGAAAGGGCGCCUACCCUACAGGUGACUACCCUGUAGAUGCCUACCCNGUAGGCAUGCAGCGGAGCUAGUAGCUGGUUACCGCNGAAGUUUCCCUCAGGAUAGCAGUGUUGUAUUCAGUUUUAUGAGGUAAAGCGAAUGAUUAGGGACUCGGGGGCGCUAUUUUGCCUUCAUCCAUUCUCAAACUUUAAAUAUGUAAGAAGCCCUUGUUACUUAAUUGAACGUGGGCAUUNGAAUGUAUCAACACUAGUGGGCCAUUUUUGGUAAGCAGAACUGGCGAUGCGGGAUGANCCGAACGCGGGGUUAAGGUGCCAGAGUGGACGCUCAUCAGACNCCACAAAAGGUGUUAGUNCAUCNUGACAGUUGGNCGGUGNCCAUNGAAGUCGGAAUCCGCUAAGGNCNGUGUAACAACUCACCAACCGAAUGUACUAGCCCUGAAAAUGGAUGNCGCUCAAGCGUCUCACCCAUACCUCGCCCUUAAGGUAGAACCGAUGCCNUAAGGAGUAG